GCAUGCAACUCGAGCGGACCGAAUAGAAGCUUGCUUCUAUUUGGUUAGCGGCGGACGGGUGAGUAACACGUGGGCAACCUGCCCUGUAGACGGGGAUAACACCGAGAAAUCGGUGCUAAUACCGGAUAACACGGAAUGUCGCAUGACGUUUCGUUGAAAGGCGGCCGCAAGCUGUCUCUACAGGAUGGGCCCGCGGCGCAUUAGCUAGUUGGUGAGGUAACGGCUCACCAAGGCGACGAUGCCGUAGCCGACCUGAGAGGGUGAUCGGCCACACUGGGACUGAGACACGGUCCAGACUCCUAC
rnacentral:rRNA from 1 species